rnacentral:rRNA from 1 species
AGUGAACGCUGGCGGUAGGCCUAACACAUGCAAGUCGAACGGCAGCACAGUAAGAGCUUGCUCUUACGGGUGGCGAGUGGCGGACGGGUGAGGAAUACAUCGGAAUCUACUUUUUCGUGGGGGAUAACGUAGGGAAACUUACGCUAAUACCGCAUACGACCUACGGGUGAAAGCAGGGGAUCUUCGGACCUUGCGCGAUUGAAUGAGCCGGUGUCGGAUUAGCUAGUUGGCGGGGUAAAGGCCCACCAAGGCGACGAUCCGUAGCUGGUCUGAGAGGAUGAUCAGCCAGAUGGGAACUGAGACACGGCCCAGACUCCUACGGGAGGCAGCAGUGGGGAAUAUUGGACAAUGGGCGCAAGCCUGAUCCAGCCAUACCGCGUGGGGGAAGAAGGCCUUCGGGUUGUAAAGCCCUUUUGUUGGGAAAGAAAAGCAGCAGGUUAAUACCCCGCUGUUCUGACGGUACCCAAAGAAUAAGCACCGGCUAACUUCGUG